rnacentral:rRNA from 1 species
UGGGGAAUAUUGCACAAUGGGCGCAAGCCUGAUGCAGCCAUGCCGCGUGUAUGAAGAAGGCCUUCGGGUUGUAAAGUACUUUCAGCGGGGAGGAAGGGAGUAAAGUUAAUACCUUUGCUCAUUGACGUUACCCGCAGAAGAAGCACCGGCUAACUCCGUGCCAGCAGCCGCGGUAAUACGGAGGGUGCAAGCGUUAAUCGGAAUUACUGGGCGUAAAGCGCACGCAGGCGGUUGAUUGAGUCAGAUGUGAAAUCCCCGGGCUUAACCCGGGAAUUGCAUCUGAUACUGGUCAGCUAGAGUCUUGUAGAGGGGGGUAGAAUUCCAUGUGUAGCGGUGAAAUGCGUAGAGAUCUGGAGGAAUACCGGUGGCGAAGGCGGCCACCUGGACGAAGACUGACGCUCAGGUGCGAAAGCGUGGGGAGCAAACAGG